UGAUCCUGGCUCGAAUGAACGCUGGCGGCAGGCCUAACACCUGUAAGUCGAACGGAGUUAUAUUGUAGCUUGCUAUGGUAUAACUUAGUGGCAGACGGGUGAGUAAUGUAUAGGAAUCUACCUAGUAGUACGGAAUAAUUGUUGGAAACGGCAACUAAUACCGUAUACGCCCUACGGGGGAAAAAUUUAUUGCUAUUAGAUGAGCCUAUAUUAGAUUAGCUAGUUGGUGGAGUAAUAGCCUACCAAGGCAAUGAUCUAUAGCUGAUCUGAGAGGAUGAUCAGCCACACUGGAACUGAGAUACGGUCCAGACUCCUACGGGAGGCAGCAGUGGGGAAUAUUGGACAAUGGGCGAAAGCCUGAUCCAGCCAUGCCGCAUGAGUGAAGAAGGCCUUUGGGUUGUAAAGCUCUUUUAGUGAGGAAGAUAAUGACGGUACUCACAGAAGAAGUCCUGGCUAACUCCGUGCCAGCAGCCGCGGUAAUACGGAGAGGGCUAGCGUUAUUCGGAAUUAUUGGGCGUAAAGGGCGCGUAGGCGGAUUAGUAAGUUAAAAGUGAAAUCCCAAGGCUCAACCUUGGAAUUGCUUUUAAAACUGCUAAUCUAGAGAUUGAAAGAGGAUAGAGGAAUUCCUAGUGUAGAGGUGAAAUUCGUAAAUAUUAGGAGGAACACCAGUGGCGAAGGCGUCUAUCUGGUUCAAAUCUGACGCUGAGGCGCGAAGGCGUGGGGAGCAAACAGGAUUAGAUACCCUGGUAGUCCACGCUGUAAACGAUGAAUGUUAAAUAUGGGA
rnacentral:rRNA from 1 species